GGACAAUUAGCUCAGUUGGUUAGAGCGCACGAUUCACAUUCGUGAGGUCACUGGUUCGAGUCCAGUAUUGUCCA
rnacentral:tRNA from 1 species